GUCCUUUUUUGGUUCAUAAACAUGAUGACUGGUGUUCACACUAUUAUGAUGUGUCCAUACUUCAAACUUGUUACAAUGCUGGCAUAUUACUAUGUUGCUAUGACC